GGAAGACUAGCUCAAUUGGUAGAGCAGCUGACUCUUAAUCAGCGGGUUGUGGGUUCGAGUCCCACGUCUUCCACCA
rnacentral:tRNA from 2 species